rnacentral:rRNA from 1 species
UGCGUCCAAACCCGACUUUCGGAGGGUUGUGCUUAUUAGAUACCGAACCAACCCAGGCUUGCCUGGUGACAGUUGAUUCAUGAUAUCCGAGCGGAUCGCACGGCUUGCCCGGCGAUGAUACAUUCAUGUUUCUGACCUAUCAUCUUCCGACGGUAUGGUAUUGGCCUAGGUGGCCUUGACGGGUAACGGAGAAUUAGGGUUCGGUUCCGGACAGGGAGCCUGAGAAACGGAUACCACAUCUAACGAAGGCAGCAGGGGCGCAAAUUACCCAAUCCUGACACAGGGAGGUUUCGACAAUAUAUACCAAGAACNAGGAUUUGACGCUUUGUAAUUGGAUGAUAAGAACACUCUGUCCGCUUUCCAGACCAAUCAUUUGGCCAGGCAUCUCUGGUGCCAGCAAGCCGCUGUAGCUCUAGCUCCAUCAGCGUACAGUAAAAGCUGAUGCGGUUCACANGCUCGCUAUCCUGGGUUCUCUGAUCUGAGAGCAAGUGGUCUGCGCAAGCGGUCACAUGUUGNUCUGAUCCUGGGAACUGCAUGGGGAAAUCAUNGACGCACUUCAGAUGGGUGGUGNCGUGAAGCAAGGCGUUUAACUU